rnacentral:lncRNA from 1 species
AAUGCUAAACAUGUAACACAUUACAUGUAAACUUGUUCAACAAUCAUCAAUGAAAAACAAGUAAAACAUCCCUUCCCGAUGUUACAUCUACCAGAGCAUGACCCACUAAGGAACUACACUAGACUCCAAGGACUAGCCUCUACUCAAUCACUGCUCGUUACCUGAAACAUAGUUGUAAGGGUGAGUUCCUCAAUCGAUAUAAUGAGCAU